GCGAAAAGAACCCCGGCGAGGGGAGUGAAAAAGAACCUGAAACCGUGUACGUACAAGCAGUGGGAGCCCCACCACUAAGCCAGUGGUGAACUCCACAUACGCAUCCUUUGCUGAGGAUACGGUUAACGGAGCGAAAGCGACGUUCAACCGCAAAAGAAGCAGAGGGGGCUUAGUGGUGGGGUGACUGCGUACCUUUUGUAUAAUGGGUCAGCGACUUAUAUUCUGUAGCAAGGUUAACCGUAUAGGGGAGCCGUAGGGAAACCGAGUCUUAACCGGGCGUUAAGUUGCAGGGUAUAGACCCGAAACCCGGUGAUCUAGCCAUGGGCAGGUUGAAGGUUGGGUAACACUAACUGGAGGACCGAACCGACUAAUGUUGAAAAAUUAGCGGAUGACCUGUGGCUGGGGGUGAAAGGCCAAUCAAACCGGGAGAUAGCUGGUUCUCCCCGAAAGCUAUUUAGGUAGCGCCUCGUGAAUUCAUCUCCGGGGGUAGAGCACUGUUUCGGCUAGGGGGCCAUCCCGGCUUACCAACCCGAUGCAAACUGCGAAUACCGGAGAAUGUUAUCACGGGAGACACACGGCGGGUGCUAACGUCCGUCGUGAAGAGGGAAACAACCCAGACCGCCAGCUAAGGUCCCAAAGUCAUGGUUAAGUGGGAAACGAUGUGGGAAGGCCCAGACAGCCAGGAUGUUGGCUUAGAAGCAGCCAUCAUUUAAAGAAAGCGUAAUAGCUCACUGGUCGAGUCGGCCUGCGCGGAAGAUGUAACGGGGCUAAACCAUGCACCGAAGCUGCGGCAGCGACGCUGAUGCGUUGUUGGGUAGGGGAGCGUUCUGUAAGCCUGCGAAGGUGGCCUGUGAGGGUUGCUGGAGGUAUCAGAAGUGCGAAUGCUGACAUAAGUAACGAUAAAGCGGGUGAAAAGCCCGCUCGCCGGAAGACCAAGGGUUCCUGUCCAACGUUAAUCGGGGCAGGGUGAGUCGACCCCUAAGGCGAGGCCGAAAGGCGUAGUCGAUGGGAAACGGGUUAAUAUUCCCGUACUUGGUGUUACUGCGAAGGGGGGACGGAGAAGGCUAUGUUGGCCGGGCGACGGUUGUCCCGGUUUAAGCGUGUAGGUGUGUGUUCCAGGUAAAUCCGGUUCACUUUAACACUGAGGCGUGACGACGAGGCACUACGGUGCUGAAGCAACAAAUGCCCUGCUUCCAGGAAAAGCCUCUAAGCAUCAGGUAACACGAAAUCGUACCCCAAACCGACACAGGUGGUCAGGUAGAGAAUACCAAGGCGCUUGAGAGAACUCGGGUGAAGGAACUAGGCAAAAUGGUGCCGUAACUUCGGGAGAAGGCACGCUGACACGUAGGUGAAGUGAUUUACUCAUGGAGCUGAAGUCAGUCGAAGAUACCAGCUGGCUGCAACUGUUUAUUAAAAACACAGCACUGUGCAAACACGAAAGUGGACGUAUACGGUGUGACGCCUGCCCGGUGCCGGAAGGUUAAUUGAUGGGGUCAGCGCAAGCGAAGCUCCUGAUCGAAGCCCCGGUAAACGGCGGCCGUAACUAUAACGGUCCUAAGGUAGCGAAAUUCCUUGUCGGGUAAGUUCCGACCUGCACGAAUGGCGUAAUGAUGGCCAGGCUGUCUCCACCCGAGACUCAGUGAAAUUGAACUCGCUGUGAAGAUGCAGUGUACCCGCGGCAAGACGGAAAGACCCCGUGAACCUUUACUAUAGCUUGACACUGAACAUUGAGCCUUGAUGUGUAGGAUAGGUGGGAGGCUUUGAAGCGUGGACGCCAGUCUGCGUGGAGCCGACCUUGAAAUACCACCCUUUAAUGUUUGAUGUUCUAACGUGGACCCGUGAUCCGGGUUGCGGACAGUGUCUGGUGGGUAGUUUGACUGGGGCGGUCUCCUCCUAAAGAGUAACGGAGGAGCACGAAGGUUGGCUAAUCCUGGUCGGACAUCAGGAGGUUAGUGCAAUGGCAUAAGCCAGCUUGACUGCGAGCGUGACGGCGCGAGCAGGUGCGAAAGCAGGUCAUAGUGAUCCGGUGGUUCUGAAUGGAAGGGCCAUCGCUCAACGGAUAAAAGGUACUCCGGGGAUAACAGGCUGAUACCGCCCAAGAGUUCAUAUCGACGGCGGUGUUUGGCACCUCGAUGUCGGCUCAUCACAUCCUGGGGCUGAAGUAGGUCCCAAGGGUAUGGCUGUUCGCCAUUUAAAGUGGUACGCGAGCUGGGUUUAGAACGUCGUGAGACAGUUCGGUCCCUAUCUGCCGUGGGCGCUGGAGAACUGAGGGGGGCUGCUCCUAGUACGAGAGGACCGGAGUGGACGCAUCACUGGUGUUCGGGUUGUCAUGCCAAUGGCACUGCCCGGUAGCUAAAUGCGGAAGAGAUAAGUGCUGAAAGCAUCUAAGCACGAAACUUGCCCCGAGAUGAGUUCUCCCUGAGACUUAGAGUCUCCUGAAGGAACGUUGAAGACGACGACGUUGAUAGGCCGGGUGUGUAAGCGCAGCGAUGCGUUGAGCUAACCGGUACUAAUGAACCGUGAGGCUUAACCUU
rnacentral:rRNA from 1 species